rnacentral:rRNA from 1 species
CCUACGGGAGGCAGCAGUGGGGAAUAUUGCACAAUGGGGGAAACCCUGAUGCAGCGACGCCGCGUGAGUGAGGAAGUCUCUCGGUAUGUAAAGCCCUUUCUGCAGGGAAGAAAAUGACGGUACCUGACUACGAAGAACCGGCUACCUACGUGCCAGCAGCCGCGGUAAUACGUAGGGGGCAAGCGUUAUCCGGAUUUACUGGGGGUAAAGGGAUCGUAGACGGUUUAUCAAGUCAGAAGUGAAAACCCAGGGCUCAACCUUGGGACUGCUUUUGAAACUGAGUAGCUAGAGUGCAGGAGAGGUAAGCGGAAUUCCUGGUGUAGCGGUGAAAUGCGUAGAUAUUAGGAGGAACACCGGUGGCGAAGGCGGCUUACUGGACUGUAACUGACGUUGAGGCUCGAAAGCGUGGGGAGCAAACAGGAUUAGAUACCCUUGUAGUC